GACGAACGCUGGCGGCGUGCUUAACACAUGCAAGUCGAACGGAAAGGCCCUGCUUUUGUGGGGUGCUCGAGUGGCGAACGGGUGAGUAACACGUGAGUAACCUGCCCUUGACUGUGGGAUAACUUCAGGAAACUGGGGCUAAUACCGGAUAGGAUCUCCUGCUGCAUGGUGGGGGUUGGAAAGUUUCGGCGGUUGGGGAUGGUUUCGCGGGUUAUCCGCUUGUUGGUGGAGUAGUUGCUUACCAAGGCUUAGACGGGUAGCCCGCCUGAGAGGGUGAACGGGGUCCAGACGACUGAGAGAGGGCGCAGACUGGUACGGGAGGCAAAAGUGGGAAACAUUGCACAGCGGGGGGGAGUCUGAUGCAGCGACCCUCGGUGCGGGAUGACGGCCUUCUGGGGGUAAACCGCUGUCGCCUGUUACGAAGCGUUAGUGACGGUAACGAGUAAAGAAGCACCGGCUAACUACGUG
rnacentral:rRNA from 1 species